AGAGGCAGUAAGGCAGGGAGAGAAGCUGGUUAGGCAUUUCCUGAUUGAAGUCAGCGGUGCUCCAUUUGCUGAUGGAGAGAGCUGAAGGGCCAGCUGGGAAAAGCUGGGAGAGACAGGGCCAGGGAAAUGGGGCCAGGCUCUCCCAAACACAUAUAAACUUGGAUGAAAGGUCAGACUCCAGCUUAUUUACAAACAACAGUGCAUUACUUGAAUUCCCCAAAGUAAUACUCCUAGAGGAGUAUUAACUAUUAGCUAGGAGUCCUUCCAGACUGCAAACUUGUCUCGGAGCAAUAGUAAAACAUCUUGUUUCUUCUGUCCAAAAGAAGCAGUUGGAUUGUCUCUUGGCUUUGGCUAGGCAAAUAACAUCCUCCUCGAAACAAAUCUGUCUGUUUCCUUAUCCUUUAAAGGUGGAACAACUGCGGCUGUGAGUAACAUGGCUGGAAAGAGAAAGACCCUUUCAGCACCUGGCUUUUGAGCACCCAGGGAGACCCGCACCUAGCUGGAAGACUGGAAUUGAGGGCUCCAUUUUAACCAGCUAAGUCGGCAGAAGCCAGCAGAGACAGUAAAAGUUCCUGAAGGUUCAGAUGUCAACAGAACAAUCGCUCCCUGGAGAAUAACCCUUCUGGAAGGUCACAGCAGUUAAGAAGCCAGACUAUCAGUUGGAAUCCUGAUUCCACCAUUUUCUCACUAUAGGACUCUGGGCAAUUUUCUUAAUCCCUGAGUUUCCUUAUGAAUAAAAAUGUAAUGGUGUUUAGGUUACAAAGAGUACGAUGGGUUAAUGUGUACGAAGUGCUUUUUUUUUUUUGUACAAUGCUUGUUAUGUAGUAAUUUUA
ensembl:lncRNA